CUCACUUCAGUAGGACAAAUACUACAAUUAGAAUGAUACAAAGGUUUAACAUGUUCCCGGCACAAGGAUGACAUACACAUUUCUUAAGUAUUCCAUAAAUGC
ensembl:snRNA U6 U6 spliceosomal RNA